UACGUAGGGGGCGAGCGUUGUCCGAAGUUACUGGGCGUAAAGCGCGCGUAGGCGGCUCUUUAAGUCUGAUGUGAAAGGUUCACGGCUCAACCGGAAUAGUGCAUUGGAGACUGGGGAGCUUGAGUCUGGGAGAGGAAAGCGGAAUUCCUGGUGUAGCGGUGAAAUGCGUAGAUAUCCGGAGGAACACCAGUGGCGAAAGCGGCCACCUGGACUGCACCUGACGCUGACACGCGAAAGCUAGGGGAGCGAACGGG
rnacentral:rRNA from 1 species